GGUGGGCGGAGCUUGUCAAGCACCAGCGUUGCGGCAUACCCAGAGGAACCACCAGAAAGCGCAUGUGGUUGAGCCAGUCGGACGUUUUGUUGGCCAGCUGAGUCACGAAGAAUUGCAAGAUUGCAGCCAGUCAUAUCCACAAUGUGAGGUGCCACACAAGUGCUCACAACUUUUGGAUGCGCGUGAGAAUGGCGGACAGGACGGCCUGGAUCUCCGCUGGCGAGCAGGUGGACACCACCGGCUGCUUGUGCACCUGCAGCUGCUCCAGUACGUACUGACACACGCGCACGCACACACUCGGGUCACAAUGUGGGCGCAGACGCAUCGGUGGACGGUAGCGCGGGCCAGGCCUACCUGCCCCUGCCAGUCUCCGCCAUGGACCAGGAUGAGACUCUCCGGGAGGGCCGAGUCAGCCAACAGGAUGUGGUUGAGCUGGUCGUACAUGGCCUUCCUCAGCACCUACACACGCAGACGAGUGCUUGCUCUAUAGGGCGCAGACAAGCGGGGCGGUAACGGGCGACCAUGUUUACCGGCGUGCCGUGUGCGAGCUCGGGCGACCUUUCCGAAUCCGAGCUGUUGGCGCGCUCACUCGGCGCUUUGGACUUGAUGGGGGUGCUGCCGCUGCGCUUCUGCCUGGAGGGGGUGUGGCCUCCGUCCAACCUGCAUAUCAACAAACUGUUUCUUAGUGUUGGUCAACAAUAGGUGCCGGGUCGCAGAAUGUGAUCGAGUACUAGGCGUCUACUUUUUGACUGACGCUUCACACGUUCAAAUGACGGCAGUAGAGAUUCAUUCA